AGAUUCAGUGUGAAACCAACUCCGUCUGAAUGCUCAGUAAAGGCAUUUGCAAUCGUCGAUUCUGUCAUUGAUGGAAUUUGCACAUAUUUUGCGCAAGAGCCUAUACUUCCAUCUCAAGAUGCCAAAAAUCAAACAUCUUCAAAAAGAGAUCCAAAAAGGACAAUAAUGCCAGAUCUCAUACUUCAGAUCAGGACCGUUUGCAGAGUCAUCGCACUGCUGAUAUGAGUGGAGCCAACAGUGAGACUUCAAAAAAGGAGAAACCUGGAGACCUUCCAUUUGCACCAGGAUGUUCUCCUGC